CAGCAGCCGCGGUAAUACGAAGGGGGCUAGCGCUGCUCGGAAUGACUGGGCGUAAAGGGCGCGUAGGCGGAUGGCACAGUCAGAUGUGAAAUUCCCGGGCUUAGCCUGGGGGCUGCAUUUGAUACGUGUUGUCUAGAGUGAGGAAGAGGGUCGUGGAAUUCCCAGUGUAGAGGUGAAAUUCGUAGAUAUUGGGAAGAACACCGGUGGCGAAGGCGGCGACCUGGUCCUUUACUGACGCUGAGGCGCGAAAGCGUGGGGAGCAAACAGGAUCAGAUACCCGAGUAGUCCCUGUCUCUUAUAC
rnacentral:rRNA from 1 species